rnacentral:rRNA from 1 species
AGGGUAUAUGGUGGAUGCCUUGGGACCAAAAGCGAAGAAGGACGUGGCGUAGCUGCGAUAAGCCUCGGGGAGAUGUUAGCAAUCUUUGAUCCGGGGAUUUCCUAAUGGGGGAACCCAAUCUUGCAAAACAAGAUUAUCGAGUUUAUCUCGAAGCGAACCCGCUGAAGUGAAACAUCUCAGUAGGCGGAGGAAAAAGAAAAUAAUGGAAUGCAUAAUUCCGCAUUCCCCAAGUAGCGGCGAGCGAACGGGGAGGAGCCCAAACCCAUAAGUGUUUACACUAAUGGGGGUUGUAAGUAGAUGACGUCUAUUUAAUUAGAGGAAAUCAAUAAAGAAAUUUAAUUAGCCAAAUCUCUCUGGAAAGAGGAACCAUAGACGGUGAUAGUCCGGUAGGCGAAAAUUAAAUUUCAUUUCUUGUUAUCUUACUUGAGUACCAGCGAAUCACGAAAAGUCGUUGGGAAUCCGGCGGGACUACCCGCCAAGGCUAAAUAUAAUUUGGUCACCGAUAGUGAACCAGUACCGUAAGGGAAAGGUGAAAAGUAGCCCGGUGAGGGCGGUGAAAUAGAACCUGAAACCAUACUACCCACAAAGAGUCAGAGCUGAGCAAUUUAUUGCUUGGUGAUGGCGUGCUUUUUGCAGAACGAGCCAACGAGUUUUUUUAAUCAAUUGUCUAAGCGCUUCUGGCGCGGAGGCAUAGGGAAACCGAGUCUUAAAAGGGCGAACAAAAAUAGAUUGAAAAAGACCCGAAGCCAGACGAGCUUGCCAUGAGCAGGAUGAAGCUUUCAGAAAUGAAAGUGGAGGUCCGAACCCGUAUGUCGUUCAACGCAUUGGGAUGACUUGUGGUAAGGAGUGAAAAGCUAAUCGAGUUUGGUAAUAGCUGGUUCUUCCCGAAAUAGUUCUAGGACUAGCCUUGUUGAUAUUGCAUCUUGGAGGUAGAGCACUGGAAGAGAUACCGUGGCUUCGGCUAGGUAUCUUUACCAAACUCCGAAUGCCAGGAUGUCUACAACAGGAGUCAGACUGCGGAAGCGAAGUCCCGUAGUCGCGAGGGGAACAACCCAGACCAUCAUCUAAGGUCCCUAAAUCUGGACUAAGUGUUAGUAAGGAGGUGAAAUUUCAUAGAUAGCUAGGAGGUUAGCUUAGAAGCAGCUACCCUUUAAAAAGUGCGUAACAGCUUACUAGCUAAGAGAUUUCGCGCCGAAGAUUUCCGGGACUCAAGUCCGGUACCGAAGAUAUGGCUUUGUAUAAUUUAUUAUGCAAGGGGUAGGGAAGCGUUCUUAUCGCAUUGAAGCGAAAUUGUAAGAUUUCGUGGAGUGGUAAGAAGUGAGAAUGUUGGCAUGAGUAACCACAAUUAUGGUGAGAUUCCAUAACGUCGUAAACCCAAGGUUUCCUUAGCAAUGAAGAUCAUCUAAGGGUUAGGCGGGCCUUAGGAAAAGCCGAAAGGUUUAUCUGAUGGACAGCCGGUUAAUAUUCCGGCCCUCUAAUAUUUUUCUGAAGGGGGACGCAACUUAGUAGUUUGAGCAGAUUAUCGGAUUUCUGUAGGGCAUUUAAGGAGCAAUCCAAGAAUGUACUUGAAGUCCUUUAUUGGACGAAAUCAAAUGAGCAAGUUGACAAGAAAAGCCCGUAGGGUUAAAAAUAUUGGACCCGUACCGUAAACCGACACAGGUGGGUGGGCACAAGUGUGCCAAGACGAACAAGUGAAAGAUCCUGAAGGAACUCGGCAAAAAAGUGAUCGUAACUUAGGAAUAAGAUCUGCCUUUUGUUAGCAAUAACAAAAGGCCGCAGCGAGCGUCUCUCUAGCGACUGUUUAUCAAAAACACAGGUCCCUGCUGAAUUCGUAAGAGGAAGUAUAGGGGCUGAGGCCUGACCAGUGCCAGAGUGUUAAAAGUGGCGGUUGUCUCGCUUAUGUUCCACGAUUAUUUGUCGAGAAGUUUGAAGGUGCAAUUUUAUUGUAUCUUUAUGUAAGUGUAAGUUUUAGUUUAAGAAGAUUUAACAAGUUUAACUUUAAAGUAUUGUAAUCAAAAUGUUUUUCUUGGUUUUAUUAAAAUAAAAUCAAGAUUGAGGUCUUAUAUGUAAGACAAUAGGUAAGAUUGCAUUUCAAGUUUUUUCGGCAAAGUAAUCGCGUACCAUAAGCGGGGCAGCUGACUGCUCAAAGCCUCUGGUGAACGUCCGCGGUAACUCUGACCGUGUUAAAGUAGCGUAAUCCCUUGUCGGGUAAGUUCCGACCCGCAUGAAAGGUUUAACGACUGGAGAACUGUCUCCAGGAUCUGCUUGGUGAAAUCGCAAUAGGGGUGAGAAUGCCCCUUACCUGUGGCUAGACAGGAAGACCCCGGGAGCUUUACUAUACCCUGACAUUGAAUUUUGAUGUUAGAUGCGUAGCAUAGGUGGGAGACUUUGAAGCAUUAGUUUCGGCUAAUGUGGAGUCGCCAGUGAAAUACCACUCUUUUAAUGUCAUGGUUCUAACUUCUCUAUCUUAGUAGGGUAGAGGAAGACAGUGUUUGGUUGGUAGUUUAAGUGGGGCGCUUUUCUCCUAAAAGGUAACGGAGAAGUUUAAAGGUUGGCUAGAUCCGGAUGGAAAUCGGAUUGGUCCUGCAAAGGGAUAAGCCAGCUUAACUGCAAGACGGGUAUGUCGCGCAGAUGCGAAAGCAGAACUUAGUGAACCGACCAUGGUUCGUAGGACCGUGGGAGAUCAUCAGCUAAAAGCUACCCCGGGGAUAACAGGCUAGUAGUGCCCGAGAGUCCAUAUCAACGGCACUGUUCGGCACCUCGAUGUCGGCUCAUCACAUCCUGGGGCUGUAGAAGGUCCCAAGGGUUUGGCUGUUCGCCAAUUAAAGUGGUACGCGAGCUGGGUUCAGACCGUCGUAAGACAGGUUGGUCCAUAUCUACCACAGGCGUUGAGUUUUGAGGAGAGUUGCCCUUUGUACGAGAGGAUCAGGGUGAACUAACCUCUGGUGUAUCAGUUGUCGCGCCAGCGGCAUCGCUGAGUAGCUAAGUUAGGAAGGGAUAAGAGCUGAAAGCAUCUAAGCUCGAAGCCCACUCCAAGAUUAGAACUCUUACCCAGGUUAAAGACUAUGACCUUGAUAGGACGUAGGUGUAAGUUCCGUGAGGAAUUGAGCCAAGCGUUACUAAUUGGGUAUUAUACUUUGAUU